rnacentral:lncRNA from 1 species
AGGGAAAAGGAGUUUCAGAUUUAGAAGACAUGAAGUGGUGAAUGUUGUGUAUGUCAGUCUGUGCCUGGAGAGCUCUCAGCAUGAUGAAAUGCUACUGCACUGAACUAUGAGGAGCAAACCUUCCCAGAAGAGAAGACUAAAGGGGAAGUUUAUUUCAAGUCUUUGAAAACUUGUUCCCCAUAUCAUCCAACUGAAAGUCUUGCCCAGGGAACUCUACUCCUGGUACCAGACAUGGUUGCUCUUCACUUGCUGGUCAUGUCUGGUUAGGCGGAUUCAACCUUAACCUAGAGUGUCCAUUCUCAACCUGUGGGUUGUGAUCUCAUUGGCAAACCACUACCUGCAAUAACAUAUACAUUAUGAUUCAUGUAAGUAGCAAAAUCACAAUUUUGAAGUAGCAACAAAAAAAAAACUUGGUGGUCGUGGGUCACUACAAUAUGAGGAAGUUUAUUGAAGAGUUGUAGCAUUAGGAAGGUUGAGACCCACUGCUCUAGAGGGGACGGCAGAGCACUCUUUCCUUGUUAAAUAAAACAAACCACUGCUCGACGUUGAACGAUUGGAUACCACUGGCUAUAUAUCUGCUGGAUCUGGAGAACUGCAAUGUGCUCCAUUUUGGAACAACGCUGACACUGUCUACCAUAGCUCUCUGUACUUAGCUUGUUUCCUUCAGAAUGUGGCUUCAGGACAUUGCUUAGUGCAGGCAUUCUGAAUUGUGAUUCAUCCUUGCUCAGUAAAGAUAUUAAAUAAAUAGAAAAUCCGCAGGCCUGUUUUUAUUAUCAUUUCUCUUAGUGAAUUUUAGAUGUAGCUUUUAGGUGGUUUGGUAUUAGAAGAAAGGAAAGAAGACUGCAUAGCAGUGUAAAGCUCUGCAGGCACUUAUAUGUGAUACAGAAUUUCCCGGCCUAUUCCAGAAGAGAAAUGGCUUCACGGAUGCUUCUCACCUUAUUUGUUCAGUGGAACUCACACACUGCCCAAGCCUGUCUAUGGUCCUCCAAGAAGACUCCAGUUCCCUUCUCUUCUCUCAGGCCCCUGGGACAUGCAGUACCCUGAAGCCUGGCCUGGUGUCACAACAGAACCACGGUGAAUGCUUGCCCGUGUCUUCAGUUAUAGGGUGAUUCAUUCAGCCAAUGUCUCCAGUCCUAGUAAACUUUGCUGCGACCUGCUUGGAGGUUUUCAUUCUGACAUAAUUCUGGAAUUAUCUUUUUCUUCAUAAAGACAGUCAUUACUAUCAGAAAAGAAA